UACAGACGGUCCAAACGUUAUUCGGAAUCACUGGGCGUAAAGAGCGCGCAGGCGGUCGUUCAAGUCGCGUGUGAAAGCCCCCGGCUCAACUGGGGAGGGUCACACGAUACUGAUCGACUCGAAGGCAGGAGAGGGAAGUGGAAUUCCCGGUGUAGUGGUGAAAUGCGUAGAUAUCGGGAGGAACACCAGUGGCGAAGGCGACUUCCUGGCCUGUUCUUGACGCUGAGGCGCGAAAGCUAGGGGAGCAAACGGG
rnacentral:rRNA from 1 species